AGAACGUACGCUGGCGGCACGCCUAACACAUGCAAGUCGAACGCAGUAGCAAUACUGAGUGGCAGACGGGUGAGUAACAUGUGGGAAUCUGCCUUGUGGUUCAGGACAACAUUGGGAAACCGAUGCUAAUACUGGAUAAGCCCUUACGGGGAAAGUUUUAAUGCCAUAAGAUGAGCCCGCAUUUGAUUAGUUAGUUGGUGAGGUAAUGGCUCACCAAGACAAUGAUCAAUAGCUGAUCUGAGAGGAUGAUCAGCCACACUGGGACUGAGACACGGCCCAGACUCCUACGGGAGGCAGCAGUGGGGAAUCUUGCACAAUGGAGGAAACUCUGAUGCAGCGAUGCCGCGUGAGUGAAGAAGGCCUUUGGGUUGUAAAGCUCUUUUGUAGGGGAAGAUAAUGACUGUACCCUAAGAAUAAGGUCCGGCUAACUUCGUGCCAGCAGCCGCGGUAAUACGAAGGGACCUAGCGUAGUUCGGAAUUACUGGGCGUAAAGCGCGCGUAGGCCGUUGAGUUAGUUAAUUGUGAAAUCCCAAAGCUUAACUUUGGAACUGCAAUUAAAACUGCUCGACUAGAGUUUGAUAGAGGAAAGCGGAAUACAUAGUGUAGAGGUGAAAUUCGUAGAUAUUAUGUAGAACACCAGUUGCGAAGGCGGCUUUCUGGAUCAACACCGACGCUGANGCGCGAAAGUAUGGGUAGCAAAGAGGAUUAGAUACCCUCGUAGUCCAUACCAUAAACGAUGAUUGCUAGAUGUUGGAAAUUUAUUUUCAGUAUCGCAGCUAACGCAUUAAGCAAUCCNNCUGGGGAGUACGACCGCAAGGUUAAAACUC
rnacentral:rRNA from 1 species